UAAAAAUCAAUUAAAUCCUUGAUCAUAACACAUUUAAAAAUCUAUACAAGGAAAAAAAGACACUGUUAUCUGUGGGAUUAAUAAUAUAUUUCCGGCAGUAACUGGACUCUGUAAAGCCACUUUUGCAAAUUAAUUAUUUUUUUUAGCUUGUGUCAUUUUAUGAAAAUUUAUAAAGCUGAUAAGCUGAAACUGUGAACCAUCAAGUAAUGGAUUAGCUAAGUGUUCAAUUUUGGAGAUACUAAUUGCUUUUCAAGUUGUAAAAGAG